CCAAAUGCGUAAAAGUUGGCAGGUAUGCAUUAGUACUUAAAAAUUUAAGCAAGCGAUAAAUUAUCUUUUAGGGAAUAGGGACUUUUCUGAAAUGUCCGAAAACCAGGAAAAUUUUUAUUGUACGAGUAGACCAGGAGAAAAUGGCAAAAUCCAAUAGUCGACUGGUAAAUCCAGGAGAAAUGGCAGCUAUGUGUAUCAUAUCUUACUGAAAUUUUAAAUUUUAGUGUUGUUGAAUACCAAAAUGGUGGCAGCUACUUUAACAACCAAGUAUUUUUAAAAGGACAUUUUCGGUGUUUCACUAUUUCAAGAAUUAUUUUUUGUUCUUUGGAUAACAAAAUACUUAAGUACAAAGAGUUAUUUAUGGUGUUUCACUUUGGUGUAAAGUAGUUGCCACCAUUUUCGGCAUUGAGAUAAUUGUUGCUCCAAAGUUGUAACAGAAAAACGAUGUCUCUUGCAGGAGAAGUCGUUAUUGCAGUUGAAGGGGAAUGAUGACAAAAUUUGUCCACCGAAGUGUAUUGAGAACUGUGCUUGAUGUUAACUUUUUGCUAUUCGUGAUCGAAAUGGACUAGAGGUUUCGUAGAUAAGAACUCUCUACUUAUGGCAACGCAUGUUUUCAUCAUCAGCGUGUGGAGAGUCAUAGGAGAAGAAAAUGGUCACCAUUGAUUUUCUGAAAAAAAAGAAGAGUUACUGGUCCCUCCACUGGCAAGUGAAAUGUGGCUAUUUGCAACUAAAAUCGAG